ensembl:lncRNA
AUUCAAUAUAUUCCGAGUUUUUACCUACCGAGCCCCGGAAGGGACAUGUCGGUAUGGCGAAACGACAAUGGAGGACACCCACCCGUACGAGAAUUUUAUUGAGUUUUAUUUUGUAAUCAGCCUAAAAUACAAAGACAUUCAAGCAGUGCGAUGCAUGAGGAGUCUGCCAUGCAGACCAGCGAUCCUGAUCCUGUUGUCGGCCUUGGAUGAUGAGGUCCAGUUACCAGGAUCACUACUCUGCAGCUCACUGAUCCCAUCCUGCAGCUCAUCCAUGCCGUCCUCCUCUCAACAGACCAAAUCAAGAAAAAGGAAGCGGGAUGCUACUGUGGAUCUGCUGCAGUAUCUGGAGAGGUCAGAGGAACAGUUGAGGAGACACCAAGAUCUGACCUCUGCCAUGCUCCAGAACAUCCAGAGACCAAGACCUGACCUCUGCCAUGCUCCAGAACAUCCAGAGACCAAGACCUGACCACUGCCAUGCUCCAGAACAUCCAGAGACCAAGACCUGACCACUGCCAUGCUCCAGAACAUCCAGAGACCAAGACCUGACCACUGCUAUGCUCCAGAACAUCCAGAGGAUGGAUGAAAAUUCAAACACCUUGGUUGGACUGAUGGGACGUACGGUGUCAGUGCUGGAGAGACUGUCACAGAAAUAAACUGCAUUAUCCACUACUUCUGAUCUUUUUAAAAAAAAAAAAAAAAAUCUUCUUUUUUGUAAAUUCUUUUACAUUUUAGUUAUUUAACUUCACCUGUUUUGUAUUUUAACUCUUGCACAUUGGGGG